rnacentral:rRNA from 1 species
AGUCUGCCCCCAUAGUCUGGGAUACCACUUGGAAACAGGUGCUAAUACGGGAUAAGAAAGCAGAUCGCAUGAUCAGCUUUUAAAAAAGGCGGCGUAAAGCUGUCGCUAUGGGAUGGCCCCGCGGUGCAUUAGCUAGUUGGUAAGGUAGAGGCUUACCAAGGCGAUGAUGCAUAGCCGAGUUGAGAGACUGAUCGGCCACAUUGGGACUGAGACACGGCCCAAACUCCUACGGGAGGCAGCAGUAGGGAAUCUUCCACAAUGGACGCAAGUCUGAUGGAGCAACGCCGCGUGAGUGAAGAAGGUUUUCGGAUCGUAAAGCUCUGUUGUUGGUGAAGAAGGAUAGAGGUAGUAACUGGCCUUUAUUUGACGGUAAUCAACCAGAAAGUCACGGCUAACUACGUGCCCAGCAGCCGCGGUAAAU